AAUAAUCGAAAUUUGUCCAAGAAUGAAACAAAGGAAUAAAAGGGAAAUGAAGAAAGUACCUGUCCAACACUUAGAAGAGAACAAGAUUGAAAUGAAUUGCGCCUUGAAUUUGCACCUAAACAAACAAUAAAACAAUAAUUGAAAACAUUAUUAAGGAUUGAAAACAAGAAGAAGAAGAAGAAGAAGAAGAAGAAGAAUAUAGAAUAUACCUGAAACGUGAGAAGGGGUUGUAGUGUUCUCCAAUGCUACUCUUACAGGCAUGUUUAGAGAUACUGAUCUCACUGUUGUUUCGUUUUGAAUAAAAGGAUUUUCGUAGCCCAAAGGAAACAG
rnacentral:lncRNA from 1 species